GGGGUUGUAGCUCAGUGGUAGAGCACUUGCCUAGCUUGUAUGAGGCACUGGGUUCAAUCCUCAGCACCACA
rnacentral:tRNA from 1 species